AUUAUUUGACGUUAGCGACAGAAGAAGCACCGGCUAACUCCGUGCCAGCAGCCGCGGUAAUACGGAGGGUGCGAGCGUUAAUCGGAAUUACUGGGCGUAAAGCGCAUGCAGGUGGUUUGUUAAGUCAGAUGUGAAAGCCCGGGGCUCAACCUCGGAAUAGCAUUUGAAACUGGCAGACUAGAGUACUGUAGAGGGGGGUAGAAUUUCAGGUGUAGCGGUGAAAUGCGUAGAGAUCUGAAGGAAUACCGGUGGCGAAGGCGGCCCCCUGGACAGAUACUGACACUCAGAUGCGAAAGCGUGGGGAGCAAACAGGAUUAGAUACCCUGGUAGUCCACGCCGUAAACGAUGUCUACUUGGAGGUUGUGGCCUUGAGCCGUGGCUUUCGGAGCUAACGCGUUAAGUAGACCGCCUGGGGAGUACGGUCGCAAGAUUAAAACUCAAAUGAAUUGACGGGGGCCCGCACAAGCGGUGGAGCAUGUGGUUUAAUUCGAUGCAACGCGAAGAACCUUACCUACUCUUGACAUCCAGAGAACUUUCCAGAGAUGGAUUGGUGCCUUCGGGAACUCUGAGACAGGUGCUGCAUGGCUGUCGUCAGCUCGUGUUGUGAAAUGUUGGGUUAAGUCCCGCAACGAGCGCAACCCUUAUCCUUGUUUGCCAGCGAGUAAUGUCGGGAACUCCAGGGAGACUGCCGGUGAUAAACCGGAGGAAGGUGGGGACGACGUCAAGUCAUCAUGGCCCUUACGAGUAGGGCUACACACGUGCUACAAUGGCGCAUACAGAGGGCAGCAAGCUAGCGAUAGUGAGCGAAUCCCAAAAAGUGCGUCGUAGUCCGGAUUGGAGUCUGCAACUCGACUCCAUGAAGUCGGAAUCGCUAGUAAUCGUGGAUCAGAAUGCCACGGUGAAUACGUUCCCGGGCCUUGUACACACCGCCCGUCACACCAUGGGAGUGGGCUGCAAAAGAAGUAGGUAGUUUAACCUUCGGGAGGACGCUA
rnacentral:rRNA from 2 species